rnacentral:tRNA from 1 species
GCAGGAGUCGCAUAGUCUGGCCAAUUGCGCAAGGUUCAGGUCCUUGUCCUUAGUGGUUCGCAGGUUCAAAUCCUGCCUCCUGCA